UUUUUUUACAUUUGAAAACUUUUAUUGUUUCGAUUCUAUUUUAAAUUUGAAUUUGAACCGUUUUGAACUAACACGAGAUUAACGAUAGGAAACACGGUGACGCGGCAUCCUUUCGAUAGGUUUACUGUAGUUUAAUUACAGAGGUUACUGUAGCAACAGUUGAGGAUGUCACACGGGGAAAUCUACUUUUGUCGCUAAGCUGAAUGCCUAAGCGGCCGCAAAGCUAUACUACAUUGGCAUCCC
rnacentral:lncRNA from 1 species